rnacentral:lncRNA from 1 species
ACUUGCUUUGCACAUCAGUUCUCAUCAGAUGAUAGGAACCCACUGCAAGGGCAGUACCGCUGUUGACAAAGACUAGAGCUUGGGGGAGAUCUCUCCGCUUUGCUAAUUCUCACCUACCAAACCAGAGGUGACCCACCAGCCUCGCUCUUGGACAGCCCCGCCUCACACUUCAUUAUCAUGUUUACAGAGCACCAUACACUGUUCCAC